GGCAGAUCCAUUUUCUGCCACCGAAUACAUUAGCAUGGGAUAAUGGAAUAGGACCCUGYCCUCCUAUUUUCAGUUGGUUUUGGCAGCGCGAGGACUAGGGUAAUGAUUAAUAGGGAUAGUUGGGGGCAUUAAUAUUUAAUUGUCAGAGGUGAAAUUCUUGGAUUUAUGAAAGAUUAACUUCUGCGAAAGCAUCUGCCAAGGAUGUUUUCAUUAAUCAAGAACGAAAGUUAGGGGAUCGAAGACGAUCAGAUACCGUCGUAGUCUUAACCAUAAACGAUGCCGACCAGCGAUUAGGAGACGUUGAAUACAAAACACCACCAUCGGCGCGGUCGUCCUUGGCGUCUGUCCCUUUCAACGGGGGCAGGCGCGAGGGCGGUUUAGCCCGGUGGCACCGGUGAAUGACUCCCCUAGCASCUUGUGAGAA
rnacentral:rRNA from 1 species